AGUUCGAUCAUGGCUCAGAUUGAACGCUGGCGGGAUGCUACAUGCAAGUCGAACGGCAGCACGGACUUCGGUCUGGUGGCGAGUGGCGAGCGGGUGAGUAAUGUCGGAACGUGCCUAAUGCUGGGGAUAACUACGCCGGCGUAGCUAAUACACCACAUACGCCCUUCAGGGGAAAGCAGGGACCUUCGGGCCUCGCACUAAUGGGCAACCGAUAUCGGAUUGGCUAGUUGGUGGGGUAACGGCUCACAAAGGGCGACGAUCCAUGUGGUUUGAGGACGACCAGCCACACUGGGACGAGACGAGCCCGGAGCUCCCUGGGAAGCAGCAGUGGGGAAUUUUGGACAAUGGGGGAAACCCUGAUCGACCAUCACGUGUGCGAUGAAGGCCUUCAGGUUGUAAAAAAAACACUUCCCAGCAGGAAAACGGCACGGGAUAAUACCCCGUGCAACUGGCCAGUACCUACCAGAAUAAAGCACCGGCUAACUGCAUUACCAGCAGCCAACGAGCAAUACGUAGGUGCAAACGUUAAUCGGAUUACUGGGCGUAAAGCGUGCUGUGAGCGGUUCGGAAAAGAAGAUGUGAAAUCCGCGAACCAACGCUGGAACUACGUUUAACUACCGAGCUAGAGGGAGUGUGUCAGAGGUGGAAUUCCGCGUGUAGCAGUGAAAUGCGUAGAUAUGCGGAGGAACACCGAUAACGAAACAGCCUCCUGGGAUAACUGACGCUCAUGCACAUGUAGAACAAACAGGAUUAGAUACCCUGGUAGUCCACGCCUAAACAUUAUCAACUAGCUGUUGUCCUUCGGAGCCUUGGUAGCGCAGCUAACGCGUGAAGUUGACCGCCUGGGAAAUGCAGUCAGCAAGACUAAAACUCAAAGGAAUUGACGGGGACCCGCACAAGCGAGUGGAUGAUGGACUAAUUCGAUGCAACGCGAAAAGCCUUACCUACCCUUGACAUGUCUGAAUCCCGGGGGCCCGGGAGUGCUGCAAGAAGAACCGGAACACAGGUGCUGUAUGGCUGUCAGUGUCCGUGUCGUGAGGAUGUUGGGUUGAGUCCCGCAACGAGCUCAGCCCUUGUCAUUAGUUGCUACGAAGGGCACUCUAAUGGGGCUGGGUGACAAACCGGAGGAAGGUGGGAUGACGUCAGGAUCUCAAUAAGUAUAUGGGUGGGCUUCACACGUCAUACAACGGUCGGGACAGAGGAUUACUUCCAACCCGCGAGGGGGAGCUAAUCAGAAACCCGAUCGUAGUCCGGAUCGCGGUCUGCAACUCGACUGCGUGAAGUCCGGAAUCGCUGGUAAUCGCGGAUCAGCAUGUCGCGGUGUAUACGUUCCGGGUCUUGUACACACCGCCAAUAUACCAUGGGGAGUGGGUUUUUACCAGAAUUGAUUAGCCUACUUCGUAAGGAGGGCGAUUACCACGGUAGGAUUCAUGACUGGGGUGAAGUCUGUAACAAGGUAG
rnacentral:rRNA from 1 species